UGCUAAAAUUUUGAUCCAAGAAACACCUGCACUUUUGGCACGAAUUUCCAAUAGAUGCUUUACUUGUAAUUGUAAACCAUAUGGGCCCGUCCACCACUAGCCUCUCGACAACCUCAGUUUAAGGUGUACAAACCCAUAAGUACCACCCUUCCAUCGCCCUCCCAAACUCAUCUACACCCUACCGACCCUACGGUCCGGUUUCCACAAUAAUGGACGGCAGAAGGGGAAUUUUCUUCUAUGCUAAUUCAUAAGGAGAAUUCUUACGGAUUGUCGCAACCGAGCCGAGAUCGCAAAUCGCAACUCCUACUUCUUUCCGGUGGCCCCGAUUUCCCCUUUUCCAAGAUCUGGAUGAUGACCUGAGAUAGAUUUUCAUAUGCCGGCUUGGAAUUAGAAAAGCCAUCGGCGGAUUUCCCUUCUACAAAUCACGGAUAGAUAGCGCAUGGGGGUUUCUUGAUGACCUCGUACCGUCUCUGCAACUUUUAGCAGUAGAUUAAAGCCAACAAGUGCCUGAUUCAAGUACUUCAUGGCGGGAAUUUUCAUCGCAAGCCGCAUGUCUUAGAGAUUUCUACAAGAACAAGAGCAGAAAACAAAAGUAAGUCAAAGCAAAAUUGAAGCAAGAGAAGCCAGCCAAGAUACAAUUGUGAAGAUGGAUUCUGCAUGAGAGAAAGAAGUAUUAGCUACAUAGAAAUGUCUGGGCAAUGCGCAGCUAAGCUGAGCAACUUCAGAGUCGCCUCAGUCCUGCAAUAAAGCAAUCUACAUGCCUACGAAACCAAAAUUAGUCCCCAUUAGUCCUCACCAUCAUGGUAACCCUAACCUCAAGACCAUAGAGGAAAUCAAGUGGCAGAUACUAGACCACCUCUUCUCGAAAGCUCCGAAAAAGAGCAUUCACCAGUACCUAAAAAAGAUGUAUGACUUAAAAGCGGAAGCUUGAAGCUACUAUCCUGAAGUGAUUGAUACGGACAGCUAUAAAUUUGCAAAGAUGCUGCUGCUCAAUGGUCAUUUUAUUGUUCAACUAUUUGUUCAUUGUAAUUUGAUAGUCAAGAAACUCAGCAAUCCAUUGAAGUAUUUGGCAUGAAGUCUAUAAUAUGGAGUAGGAGACAAACUGCAAGCCAAAUAUUAUUGUUCAACGGAUCAUUGAACUUCUUGGCCAUCAAAUUACAAUGGAUGAACGGUUGGAUAAUAAAAUAGCCAUCGAGCAGUAACAUCUCUGCAAAUUUGUAGCUAUCUAUGUCGAUCACUUCAGAGUAGUAGCUUCGGGCUUUUGCCUCAUCUUUUUUAGAUACUAGUGGAUGAUAUCUUUCAGUGCUUUCAAGAUGAGGUGGUCUAAUAUCAACCACCUGAUUUCUUCCAUGGCCUGAAGGCUCAUGAUCUUAAGGAGACCAGCUUUGGCUCAUAAGCAUGCAAAUUGAUUGAACGCAAGAUUGGGGGAUGGUAACGGAUAGAGAAGGUACAAGUAUUUAAGCGUUUGCUCUAGGAUAUUUUCAAGAGAGUAUUAAGUUAUUCUAUAUGUUGGUCGAAAGAAAAUGAAAUGUAACACAACUACACAAGAUGGGUUCAAGGGUCUGAAUAUUUGGACUCUUCUCUCUUGCAUAAAUGAUCUGGAAGAAAACCGAACAUAGAGUUGAUGAUCAUGUAUUAGUGACUAGCUUUCUUUCUCUCGUUCUUUUUUGUGAGGCUUCGAACAUAGAAGGAAUUCUAAUUGAUUAGAGAGGAUA